CAAGGAAUCUUCGGCACUGGGCGCAAGCCUGACCGAGCAACGCCGCGUGGAGGAUGACGGCUUUCGGGUUGUAAACUCCUUUGAGGUGGGAUGAUAUGGACCGUACCACCAGAACAAGCCCCGGCUAACUCUGUGCCAGCAGCCGCGGUAAGACAGAGGGGGCAAGCGUUGUCCGGAGUGACUGGGCGUACAGCGCGCGCAGGCGGUUGGUGACGUGCCGUGUCACAGCCCUGAGCUCAACUCAGGGUGGCCACGGUAGACGCACCGGCUGGAGGCAGGGAGAGGGAUGUGGAAUACCCGAUGGAGCGGUGAAAUGCGUAGAGAUCGGGUGGAACACCAGUGGCGAAGGCGGCAUCCUGGCCCUGACCUGACGCUGAGGCGCGAGAGCGUGGGGAGCAAACGG
rnacentral:rRNA from 1 species